rnacentral:tRNA from 1 species
GGGCGAUUAGCUCAGUUGGGAGAGCACCUCCCUUACAAGGAGGGGGUCACUGGUUCGAGCCCGUUAUCGCCCACCA